rnacentral:rRNA from 1 species
ACGAACGCUGGCGGCGUGCUUAACACAUGCAAGUCGAACGGAAAGGCCCUGCUUUUGUGUGGUGCUCGAGUGGCGAACGGGUGAGUAACACGUGAGUAACCUGCCCUUGACUUUGGGAUAACUUCAGGAAACUGGGGCUAAUACCGGAUAGGAGCUCCUGCUGCAUGGUGGGGGUUGGAAAGUUUCGGCGGUUGGGGAUGGACUCGCGGCUUAUCAGCUUGUUGGUGGGGUAGUGGCUUACCAAGGCUUUGACGGGUAGCCAGCCUGAGAGGGUGACCGGCCACAUUGGGACUGAGAUACGGCCCAGACUCCUACGGGAGGCAGCAGUGGGGAAUAUUGCACAAUGGGCGGAAGCCUGAUGCAGCAACGCCGCGUGCGGGAUGACGGCCUUCGGGUUGUAAACCGCUUUCGCCUGUGACGAAGCGUGAGUGACGGUAAUGGGUAAAGAAGCACCGGCUAACUACGUG